rnacentral:lncRNA from 1 species
CUGCGUGAGCCAACAGUGGCAACUUGUUCGGGUAUCCUUCCCCAGUGUGGAAGCUUUAGUUCUUUUGCUCUUUGCAAUGAAUCUUGCUGCUGCUCACUCUUUGGGUCCACGCUGCGUUUACACUGUGUUUAUGAGCUGUAACACUCACCACAAAGGUCUGCAGCUUCACUCCUGAAGCCAGCAAAGACCACGAACCCACCAGGAAGAAGGAACAACUCCAGACACGCAGCCUUAAGAGCUGUAACACUCACUGCCAAGGUCUUCAGCUUCACUCCUGAGCCAGCCAGACCAUGAACCCACCAGAAGGAAAAAACUCGGAACACAUCCCAACAUCAGAAGGAACAAACUCUGGACAUGCCGCCUUUAAGAACUGUAACAACGCAAGGGUCCGCGGCUUUAUUCUUGAAGUCAGUAAGACCAAGAACCCAAUUCCGGACACGCCCACAAGGGCAAGACUUCAUGAGGUUCUGGUGACCAAGCAUGCUCAUCGCUGUCCUGGGACUGCUCCAAGUGCAAUUCAAAGAUGUUUGUUACAAAUGAAGAUCCUCUCCUCAGAGAUCCUCAUUCCCUGCAUUUGAGAUGGGCCCUGGGAACCUUCAUUAUUAACUCCUGAAUUUCACUUGGACCAACACGGUGAUGGUGACAAGCCCAGCAGAUGGAAAGGCAGCUCAACAUCUGAGAAGCCAGUCUUACUCCCUGCAGGCAACAGCUGCUUCCAGAAAACAGCCCUGUAAUUGUCACCAUCAAAUCCAUAUAUUUUCAAGGGAAGUUGGUCCCACACCAGAAGUCAUAGCUGAAUCACCAGCAGUAAUGCAGGGACAUACUGGUUGCUUCUUGGCUUUUCCAACCCUCUGCCAUGCUUGAACAUCUUUGUGAAAGUCCAGGAACAACAAAUAAGCUUAAGGAUAAAAGCCCCCCAGCCAUACCACCACAACCCCCUGUUAAACUCAUGCAUGACUUGUAGAAUCCUUUCCCCACUGUCACUAAAAGGCUUUUUACAUUUUCCCUCCUUAAAACACCAGUUUACUGAAUGGAACGCUAUUUCCUAAAUAUUUGCUACACACACAGCUGUAUAUAGAGUUCCCAGGAGAUGACUUUUUUCUUGUCAUCUUUUAAAACUACAGUUAUAUGUUGAUUUAAUUAUCUUCUCUCUAGAUUACUUCACCAAAGUACAGUUCCUACAGGAAGAUAAUGAUCUGACCUAACCUACUAUUGGCUGAAGGAAGGAGAAAAGCAGCUGAAGAUGUCUGUUGAGUGAUUACCCUCAUAAUCCGUGACUAAGAACAUCCAAAUCAGCAUGGCUUCUUCCUGUCUGAAAUUAUUACUACUUAGGGUUUUUCACGUGUUAUUUCAUUUAUUGAUUAUUCUGUUUUAAACUUGCAAGACGUAUUGUCUCUUCAGAAAUAAAACUUUAUCACUUGCUUCAUCAA